rnacentral:rRNA from 1 species
AAAUGACUCUCGGCAACGGAUAUCCCGGCUCUCGCAUCGAUGAAGAACGCAGCGAAAUGCGAUACUUGGUGUGAAUUGCAGAAUCCCGUGAACCAUCGAGUCUUUGAACGCAAGUUGCGCCUGAAGCCAUUAGGCUGAGGGCACGUCUGCCUGGGUGUCACGC